CCACACAAACCUUAUCCCCACCGCCGCCCUCUCUCUGAGUCUAAAAUACCAGCGCUGGCGACUGCAUUUUUGAGGACGCCAGAGCUGAUGCAAGCGGGAGCAGCGUCCAUGGAUGUGGAACUGCAUCCUCUUCUCCCCCGACGCCCGGAGCGGCGAGCUGCAACCAUGGACGGCAGGAGCUGCAACCCGUUUUCGUGGGAGCUACACCGGCGUCCAUGGGAGCUGCGGCCGAAAUUCGAGCUGCAACCAUGGAUGGCGGGGAGCUGCAAUCGGCCUCCGGGGGAGCUGCGUGCGGUGAACGGUGACUUUUCUUUUCACUGGAAUACAAGUGCUACAACCGUUUUUCCUUCUUGCUGGUAUCGGCGGCGAAUUUUGCUGGAAACGGCUACGGAUUUUGCUACAUUCAUUCACGGCCGAGCUGCGUCCCGUGACGACAGCGACCUAUUUUUUGCUACAACCGUUGUAGUUUUUGCUACGUCCGUGGAUGAUUUUUGCUACAUCCUUCUUUCAUGGUGAACCUGUAGGCUCGAUGGCGGCGACCUAUUUUUGCUACAACCGUUGUAAUUUUUGAUAUGUCCGUGGAUGAUUUUUGCUACAUCCUUCUUUCAUGGUGAACUUGUAGGCUCGACGGCGGCGACCUAUUUUUGCUACAACCGUUGUAAUUUUUGCUACGUCCGUUGAUGGUUUGUGCUACAUCCCUUUUUUCAUGGUGACCUUGUAGGCUCGACGGCGGCGACCUAUUUUUGCUACAACCGUUGUAAUUUUUGCUACGUCCGUUGAUGGUUUGUGCUACAUUCCUUUUUUCAUGAUGAACCUGCAGGCUCGACGGCGGCGACCUAUUUUUGAUACAACCUCUGUACUCUUUUCUACGCCCGUCGAGGAUUUUGGCUACAUCCUUUUUUCACCAUGGACCUGCAGGCUCGACUGCGAUUAGCGGCGGGUGGGAGUGGCUGGCGAGCACGGGCGGCGCAGGGUUGACCGGUGAGCAUGGGCGCGAGCGCGGGCGGCCGGUGAUUCAGGCGCGAGCACGGGCAGCCGGCGAGUGAAGGCGCGAGCGCGGGCGGCUCGGGUGUGGCCGGCAAGCACGGGUGAAGAGAGCAGGAAAGGUCCAAUCCAACGAUUGUAUAUACGCGAAUCGGAUGGCUGCGCGCUGACCGGCCCAAAUUUGGGCCGGUGCGCCGGCGCCUAUCGGUGCCCUUUCUGAUAUCCCAACGCCACAAGCCCAGCCCACAGUUCGCCGAUCUGCGUCCUCCUCUCCCUUGUUCGUCCUCCUCACCGGUCGCUCGCCGGCGCAGGCUCUCCCGAACCCAACCGCAGCCGUCGCGGCCGCUCGCCAUCCGUCCUGGUCCGCCGCUUCAGCCUCGCCCUCCAAGCCUGCAUCCCGCCUCCCUCCACCGCCGCCACCGCUCAAGGUGAAGGGGAAGCAAUUUUGCGUGGAAGUUCCGUUUCUCUCCGAUGUCUGAGAAGAAAGCUCCUAGGAAGUUUAUCUGGUCGGUGGACUGCAGCGAUAUUCAGAGAGGGGCAGUGCACCAACCAACUGGCACAAGCUGUACACUGACGGCAUCCAGUUUGGCCUUCCCGUCAACAUAAGUUAUCAUUCCUGUUCAUCUGUCUCUUCUGUGAUCCGAUUCACGCGACUUAAGAGUUAAGAGGCACACCCAUCUGCGUGCCAGAUGCUUGGAUCAGGAGGGUCAGGAAACAGAAUUCAGCUGCGUAGCUUGACAGUGAUGUAUGUCUGUGGUUUGCUAGCUGAGUGGAAGAGAAGCAGUUGGCAUGGAAGUUCCAUUUCUCUCUGAUGUCCGAGAAGAAAGCUCUUGUAGAAAAUGGUUGUGUACACAGUGCCUAAUCUGUUUUGUACCAUCACAUUUCAUAUGUCCAUCGGAGAAAAUGUGCUUUCUUUAGGGGUGUUGGAGUGGACCGAGUUACAGUCCUCAUUUAUAUGGGCAUAGGCAGUGACAAAGAAAAGGGCACUGCAAUCAUUUGUUUUAGUGCUUGUCUUUGUUUUUGUUGCUUCCGUUGUAUGGUUGCAAAGUUAGGCUUCAUCUGAUUUUUGUUAGUUAAGAUGAUCUCAUUAAGCUGAUAAAUAGAAUUCCACACGACCCUUU